GAGUAACGAAAAGAUCUGUGAGAAUCAGAUCCGCCGAAAGCCUAAGGGUUCCUGAGGAAGGUUCGUCCGCUCAGGGUAAGUCGGGACCUAAGGCGAGGCCGAUAGGCGUAGUCGAAGGACAACAGGUCGAAAUUCCUGUACCACCGUAAUCCGCUAUGAGCGAUGGGGUGACGCAGUAGGGUAGUGACGCGGACUGAUGGAUGUCCGUCUAAGCAGUGAGGCUGAUGUGUAGGCAAAUCCGCACAUCGUAAGGCUGGGCUGUGAUGGGGAGCGAAAAUUACAGUAGCGAAGGUCAUGAUCUCAGACUGCCAAGAAAAGCCUCUAGCCAGGAGAAGGUGCCCGUACCGCAAACCGACACAGGUAGGCGAGAAGAGAAUUCUAAGGCGCGCGGAAGAACUCUCGUUAAGG
rnacentral:rRNA from 1 species